AUUGAACGCUGGCGGCAGGCCUAACACAUGCAAGUCGAGCGAGCGGCGGACGGGUGAGUAAUGUCUGGGAAUCUGCCCGAUGGAGGGGGAUAACUACUGGAAACGGUGGCUAAUACCGCAUACUAUCGGAUGAACCCAUAUGGGUUUAGCUAGUAGGGGGGGUAAAGGCUCACCUAGGCGACGAUCCCUAGCUGGUCUGAGAGGAUGAACAGCAACAAGGGGACGGAGACACGGUCCAGACUCUGACGGGAGGCAGCAGUGGGGAAUAUUGCACAAUGGGCGCAAGCCUGAUGCAGCCAUGCCGCGUGUAUGAAGAAGGCCUUAGGGUUGUAAAGUACUUUCAGCGGGGAGGCGUUACCCGCAGAAGAAGCACCGGCUAACUCCGUGCCAGCAGCCGCGGUAAUUC
rnacentral:rRNA from 1 species